GAUGAAGAACGUAGUAAAAUGCGAUACUUGGUGUGAAUUGCCGAAUCCCGUGAACCAUCGAGUUUUUGAACGCAAGUUGCGCCCGAAGCCUUUUGGCCGAGGGCACGUCUGCCUGGGCGUCACGCAUCGCGUCGCCCCCCACAAUUCUCCGUAAAGGGAACAUGUGUUUUGGGGGCGGAUAUUGGUCUCCCGUGCUCAUGGCGUGGUUGGCCGAAAUAGGAGUCCUUUCGAUGGACGCACGAACUAGUGGUGGUCGUAAAAACCCUCGUCUUUUGUUUCGUGCUGUUGCUCGCAAGGUAAACUCUUUAAAAACCCCAAUGUGUCGUCUCUUGACGACGCUUCGACCGCGACCCCAGGUCAGGCGGGACUACCCGCUGAGUUUAAGCAUAUCAAUAAGCGGAGGA
rnacentral:misc_RNA from 1 species